UAAUAACUAAAAGCCCGGUUUUCUUUCCCUUCUGUAUAAUGUGCAAUGUUUGUUACUUUCUACUUCAGGCCAGGUUUUCAUGAUAUCUGGACUAUAGAAUGUGAAAUAAUCCGCUGAUCAGUAAUCAUGGUUACUAACCCACCCGCUAGCUGAUUAUAUACCUUGAAAAUCUCGUCUGUUGGUGUGGUCUGAGGACUGGAGUUAAAUAACAGUGCAGUAAUAUAUCCUUGUCAAUACACAAGACUUGCCAACUCUUGCAUAUUAUGUGCCAAUGCCCCUGUAGAUGUAUUAGACAGAAUAGAUAUAAACGUACAGUAGCUCUAGGGCUUGAUGGAACUUUAGAGUUGAUAGGUAGAAAUGUGAACAAGCUAGUGUAUAUGAAUAUAUACACUGUAUAGAUGGCUAGAAGAGCUGGUAUAUAUAAAUAGAAGAUAGGUAGAGAUAAAGAUGGGUAGAAGAGCUGGUAUAUAUAAAUAGAUGAUAGGUAGAGAUAUAGAUGGUUAGAAGAGCUGGUAUAUAUAAAUAGAAGAUAGGUAGAGAUAUAGAUGGGUAGAAGAGCUGGUAUAUAUAAAUAGAUGAUAGGUAGAGAUAUAGAUGGUUAGAAGAGCUGGUAUAUAUAAAUAGAUGAUAGGUAGAGAUAUAGAUGGUUAGAAGAGCUGGUAUAUAUAAAUAGAUGAUAGGUAGAGAUAUAGAUGGUUAGAAGAGCUGGUAUAUAUAAAUAGAUGAUAGGUAGAGAUAUAGAUGGUUAGAAGAGCUGGUAUAUAUAAAUAGAUGAUAGGUAGAGAUAUAGAUGGGUAGAAGAGCUGGUAUAUAUAAAUAGAUGAUAGGUAGAGAUAUAUAGAUGGGUAGAAGAGCUGGUAUAUAUAAAUAGAUGAUAGGUAGAGAUAUAGAUGGUUAGAAGAGCUGGUAUAUAUAAAUAGAAGAUAGGUAGAGAUAUAGAUGGUUAGAAGAGCUGGUAUAUAUAAAUAGAUGAUAGGUAGAGAUAUAGAUGGUUAGAAGAGCUGGUGUAUAUAAAUAGAUGAUAGGUAGAGAUAUAGAUGGGUAGAAGAGCUGGUAUAUAUAAAUAGAUGAUAGGUAGAGAUAUAGAUGGCUAGAAGAGCUGGUAUAUAUAAAUAGAAGAUAGAGAUAUAGAUGGGUAGAAGAGCUGGGAUAUAUAAAUAGAAGAUAGGUAGAGAUAAAGAUGGCUAGAAGAGCUGGUAUAUAUAAAUAGAUGAUAGGUAGAGAUAUAGAUGGUUAGAAGAGCUGGUGUAUAUAAAUAGAUGAUAGGUAGAGAUAUAGAUGGGUAGAAGAGCUGGUAUAUAUAAAUAGAUGAUAGGUAGAGAUAUAGAUGGCUAGAAGAGCUGGUAUAUAUAAAUAGAUGAUAGGUAGAGAUAUAGAUGGCUAGAAGAGCUGGUAUAUAUAAAUAGAUGAUAGGUAGAGAUAUAGAUGGGUAGAAGAGCUGGUAUAUAUAAAUAGAUGAUAGGUAGAGAUAUAGAUGGGUAGAAGAGCUGGUAUAUAUAAAUAGAUGAUAGGUAGAGAUAAAGAUGGUUAGAAGAGCUGGGAUAUAUAAAUAGAUGAUAGGUAGAGAUAUAGAUGGGUAGAAGAGCUGGUAUAUAUAAAUAGAUGAUAGGUAGAGAUAAAGAUGGGUAGAAGAGCUGGUGUAUAUAUAAAUAGAUGAUAGGUAGAGAUAUAGAUGGGUAGAAGAGCUGGUAUAUAUAAAUAGAUGAUAGGUAGAGAUAUAGAUGGGUAGAAGAGCUGGUAUAUAUAAAUAGAAGAUAGGUAGAGAUAUAGAUGGCUAGAAGAGCUGGGAUAUAUAAAUAGAUGAUAGGUAGAGAUAUAGAUGGUUAGAAGAGCUGGUAUAUAUAAAUAGAUGAUAGGUAGAGAUAUAGAUGGUUAGAAGAGCUGGUAUAUAUAAAUAGAUGAUAGGUAGAGAUAAAGAUGGUUAGAAGAGCUGGUAUAUAUAAAUAGAUGAUAGGUAGAGAUAAUGAUGGUUAGAAGAGCUGGUAUAUAUAAAUAGAUGAUAGGUAGAGAUAUAGAUGGGUAGAAGAGCUGGUAUAUAUAAAUAGAAGAUAGGUAGAGAUAUAGAUGGGUAGAAGAGCUGGGAUAUAUAAAUAGAUGAUAGGUAGAGAUAUAGAUGGGUAGAAGAGCUGGGAUAUAUAAAUAGAUGAUAGGUAGAGAUAUAGAUGGGUAGAAGAGCUGGUAUAUAUAAAUAGAUGAUAGGUAGAGAUAUAGAUGGGUAGAAGAGCUGGUAUAUAUAAAUAGAUGAUAGGUAGAGAUAUAUAGAUGGGUAGAAGAGCUGGGAUAUAUAAAUAGAAGAUAGGUAGAGAUAUAGAUGGGUAGAAGAGCUGGUAUAUAUAAAUAGAUGAUAGGUAGAUAUAUAGAUGGGUAGAAGAGCUGGUAUAUAUAAAUAGAAGAUAGGUAGAGAUAUAGAUGGUUAGAAGAGCUGGUAUAUAUAAAUAGAUGAUAGGUAGAGAUAUAGAUGGUUAGAAGAGCUGGUGUAUAUAAAUAGAUGAUAGGUAGAGAUAUAGAUGGGUAGAAGAGCUGGUAUAUAUAAAUAGAUGAUAGGUAGAGAUAUAGAUGGCUAGAAGAGCUGGUAUAUAUAAAUAGAUGAUAGGUAGAGAUAUAGAUGGUUAGAAGAGCUGGUAUAUAUAAAUAGAAGAUAGGUAGAGAUAUAGAUGGUUAGAAGAGCUGGUGUAUAUAAAUAGAUGAUAGGUAGAGAUAUAGAUGGCUAGAAGAGCUGGUAUGUAUAAAUAGAAGAUAGAGAUAUAGAUGGGUAGAAGAGCUGGGAUAUAUAAAUAGAAGAUAGGUAGAGAUAAAGAUGGCUAGAAGAGCUGGUAUAUAUAAAUAGAUGAUAGGUAGAGAUAUAGAUGGUUAGAAGAGCUGGUGUAUAUAAAUAGAUGAUAGGUAGAGAUAUAGAUGGGUAGAAGAGCUGGUAUAUAUAAAUAGAUGAUAGGUAGAGAUAUAGAUGGCUAGAAGAGCUGGUAUAUAUAAAUAGAUGAUAGGUAGAGAUAUAGAUGGUUAGAAGAGCUGGUAUAUAUAAAUAGAUGAUAGGUAGAGAUAUAGAUGGUUAGAAGAGCUGGUGUAUAUAAAUAGAUGAUAGGUAGAGAUAUAGAUGGCUAGAAGGGCUGGUAUAUAUAAAUAGAUGAUAGGUAGAGAUAUAGAUGGGUAGAAGAGCUGGUAUAUAUAAAUAGAUGAUAGGUAGAGAUAUAGAUGGUUAGAAGGGCUGGUAUAUAUAAAUAGAAGAUAGGUAGAGAUAUAGAUGGCUAGAAGAGCUGGUAUAUAUAAAUAGAUGAUAGGUAGAGAUAUAGAUGGGUAGAAGAGCUGGUAUAUAUAAAUAGAUGAUAGGUAGAGAUAUAGAUGGUUAGAAGAGCUGGUAUAUAUAAAUAGAAGAUAGGUAGAGAUAUAGAUGGCUAGAAGAGCUGGUAUAUAUAAAUAGAUGAUAGGUAGAGAUAUAGAUGGUUAGAAGAGCUGGGAUAUAUAAAUAGAUGAUAGGUAGAGAUAUAGAUGGUUAGAAGAGCUGGGAUAUAUAAAUAGAUGAUAGGUAGAGAUAAUGAUGGUUAGAAGAGCUGGGAUAUAUAAAUAGAUGAUAGGUAGAGAUAUAGAUGGGUAGAAGAGCUGGUGUAUAUAAAUAGAUGAUAGGUAGAGAUAUAGAUGGGUAGAAGGGCUGGUAUAUAUAAAUAAGAUAGGUAGAGAUAUAGAUGGUUAGAAGAGCUGGUAUAUAUAAAUAGAUGAUAGGUAGAGAUAUAGAUGGUUAGAAGAGCUGGUAUAUAUAAAUAGAUGAUAGGUAGAGAUAUAGAUGGGUAGAAGAGCUGGUGUAUAUAAAUAGAUGAUAGGUAGAGAUAUAGAUGGGUAGAAGAGCUGGUGUAUAUAAAUAGAAGAUAGGUAGAGAUAUAGAUGGUUAGAAGAGCUGGUGUAUAUAAAUAGAUGAUAGGUAGAGAUAUAGAUGGCUAGAAGAGCUGGUAUAUAUAAAUAGAUGAUAGGUAGAGAUAUAGAUGGGUAGAAGAGCUGGUGUAUAUAAAUAGAAGAUAGGUAGAGAUAUAGAUGGUUAGAAGAGCUGGUGUAUAUAAAUAGAUGAUAGGUAGAGAUAUAGAUGGGUAGAAGAGCUGGUAUAUAUAAAUAGAUGAUAGGUAGAGAUAUAGAUGGCUAGAAGAGCUGGUAUAUAUAAAUAGAAGAUAGAGAUAUAGAUGGGUAGAAGAGCUGGGAUAUAUAAAUAGAAGAUAGGUAGAGAUAAAGAUGGCUAGAAGAGCUGGUAUAUAUAAAUAGAUGAUAGGUAGAGAUAUAGAUGGUUAGAAGAGCUGGUGUAUAUAAAUAGAUGAUAGGUAGAGAUAUAGAUGGGUAGAAGAGCUGGUAUAUAUAAAUAGAUGAUAGGUAGAGAUAUAGAUGGCUAGAAGAGCUGGUAUAUAUAAAUAGAUGAUAGGUAGAGAUAUAGAUGGGUAGAAGAGCUGGUAUAUAUAAAUAGAUGAUAGGUAGAGAUAUAGAUGGGUAGAAGAGCUGGUAUAUAUAAAUAGAUGAUAGGUAGAGAUAUAGAUGGGUAGAAGAGCUGGUAUAUAUAAAUAGAUGAUAGGUAGAGAUAAAGAUGGUUAGAAGAGCUGGGAUAUAUAAAUAGAUGAUAGGUAGAGAUAUAGAUGGGUAGAAGAGCUGGUAUAUAUAAAUAGAUGAUAGGUAGAGAUAAAGAUGGGUAGAAGAGCUGGUGUAUAUAUAAAUAGAUGAUAGGUAGAGAUAUAGAUGGGUAGAAGAGCUGGUAUAUAUAAAUAGAUGAUAGGUAGAGAUAUAGAUGGGUAGAAGAGCUGGUAUAUAUAAAUAGAAGAUAGGUAGAGAUAUAGAUGGCUAGAAGAGCUGGGAUAUAUAAAUAGAUGAUAGGUAGAGAUAUAGAUGGUUAGAAGAGCUGGUAUAUGUAAAUAGAUGAUAGGUAGAGAUAUAGAUGGUUAGAAGAGCUGGUAUAUAUAAAUAGAUGAUAGGUAGAGAUAAAGAUGGUUAGAAGAGCUGGUAUAUAUAAAUAGAUGAUAGGUAGAGAUAAUGAUGGUUAGAAGAGCUGGUAUAUAUAAAUAGAUGAUAGGUAGAGAUAUAGAUGGGUAGAAGAGCUGGUAUAUAUAAAUAGAAGAUAGGUAGAGAUAUAGAUGGGUAGAAGAGCUGGGAUAUAUAAAUAGAUGAUAGGUAGAGAUAUAGAUGGUUAGAAGAGCUGGUAUAUAUAAAUAGAUGAUAGGUAGAGAUAUAGAUGGGUAGAAGAGCUGGUAUAUAUAAAUAGAUGAUAGGUAGAGAUAUAUAGAUGGGUAGAAGAGCUGGUAUAUAUAAAUAGAUGAUAGGUAGAGAUAUAUAGAUGGGUAGAAGAGCUGGGAUAUAUAAAUAGAAGAUAGGUAGAGAUAUAGAUGGGUAGAAGAGCUGGUAUAUAUAAAUAGAUGAUAGGUAGAUAUAUAGAUGGGUAGAAGAGCUGGUAUAUAUAAAUAGAAGAUAGGUAGAGAUAUAGAUGGUUAGAAGAGCUGGUAUAUAUAAAUAGAUGAUAGGUAGAGAUAUAGAUGGUUAGAAGAGCUGGUAUAUAUAAAUAGAAGAUAGGUAGAGAUAUAGAUGGUUAGAAGAGCUGGUAUAUAUAAAUAGAUGAUAGGUAGAGAUAUAGAUGGUUAGAAGAGCUGGUGUAUAUAAAUAGAUGAUAGGUAGAGAUAUAGAUGGCUAGAAGAGCUGGUAUGUAUAAAUAGAAGAUAGGUAGAGAUAUAGAUGGGUAGAAGAGCUGGGAUAUAUAAAUAGAAGAUAGGUAGAGAUAAAGAUGGCUAGAAGAGCUGGUAUAUAUAAAUAGAUGAUAGGUAGAGAUAUAGAUGGUUAGAAGAGCUGGUGUAUAUAAAUAGAUGAUAGGUAGAGAUAUAGAUGGGUAGAAGAGCUGGUAUAUAUAAAUAGAUGAUAGGUAGAGAUAUAGAUGGCUAGAAGAGCUGGUAUAUAUAAAUAGAUGAUAGGUAGAGAUAUAGAUGGCUAGAAGAGCUGGUAUAUAUAAAUAGAUGAUAGGUAGAGAUAUAGAUGGGUAGAAGAGCUGGUAUAUAUAAAUAGAUGAUAGGUAGAGAUAUAGAUGGGUAGAAGAGCUGGUAUAUAUAAAUAGAUGAUAGGUAGAGAUAAAGAUGGUUAGAAGAGCUGGGAUAUAUAAAUAGAUGAUAGGUAGAGAUAUAGAUGGGUAGAAGAGCUGGUAUAUAUAAAUAGAUGAUAGGUAGAGAUAAAGAUGGGUAGAAGAGCUGGUGUAUAUAUAAAUAGAUGAUAGGUAGAGAUAUAGAUGGGUAGAAGAGCUGGUAUAUAUAAAUAGAUGAUAGGUAGAGAUAUAGAUGGGUAGAAGAGCUGGUAUAUAUAAAUAGAAGAUAGGUAGAGAUAUAGAUGGCUAGAAGAGCUGGGAUAUAUAAAUAGAUGAUAGGUAGAGAUAUAGAUGGUUAGAAGAGCUGGUAUAUAUAAAUAGAUGAUAGGUAGAGAUAUAGAUGGUUAGAAGAGCUGGUAUAUAUAAAUAGAUGAUAGGUAGAGAUAAAGAUGGUUAGAAGAGCUGGUAUAUAUAAAUAGAUGAUAGGUAGAGAUAAUGAUGGUUAGAAGAGCUGGUAUAUAUAAAUAGAUGAUAGGUAGAGAUAUAGAUGGGUAGAAGAGCUGGUAUAUAUAAAUAGAAGAUAGGUAGAGAUAUAGAUGGGUAGAAGAGCUGGGAUAUAUAAAUAGAUGAUAGGUAGAGAUAAAGAUGGGUAGAAGAGCUGGUAUAUAUAAAUAGAUGAUAGGUAGAGAUAUAGAUGGGUAGAAGAGCUGGUGUAUAUAAAUAGAUGAUAGGUAGAGAUAUAGAUGGGUAGAAGAGCUGGUAUAUAUAA